GUCUACGGCCAUGCCGCCCUGAACAAGCCCGAUGUCUGAUCUUGGAAGCUAAGCAGGGUCGGGCCUAGUUAGUACUUGGACAGGAGACCACCUAGGAAGACCUUGUGCUGUAGGCA
rnacentral:rRNA from 1 species